rnacentral:rRNA from 1 species
AACGAACGCUGGCGGCAUGCCUAACACAUGCAAGUCGAACGAGACCUUCGGGUCUAGUGGCGCACUGGUGCGUAACGCGUGGGAACCUGCCUUUAGGUUCGGAAUAACUCCCCGAAAGGGGUGCUAAUACCGGAUAAUGUCUUCGGACCAAAGAUUUAUCGCCUUUGGAUGGGCCCGCGUUGGAUUAGCUAGUUGGUAGGGUAAAAGCCUACCAAGGCGACGAUCCAUAGCUGGUCUGAGAGGAUGAUCAGCCACACUGGGACUGAGACACGGCCCAGACUCCUACGGGAGGCAGCAGUGGGGAAUAUUGGACAAUGGGCGAAAGCCUGAUCCAGCAAUGCCGCGUGAGUGAUGAAGGCCUUAGGGUUGUAAAGCUCUUUUACACGGGAUGAUAAUGACAGUACCGGGAGAAUAAGCUCCGGCUAACUCCGUG